rnacentral:rRNA from 1 species
AUACGUAGGUGACAAGCGUUAUCCGGAUUUACUGGGCGUAAAGGGUGCGUAGGCGGGUAGACAAGUCAGGUGUGAAAACCAUCGGCUCAACCGGUGAACUGCACUUGAAACUGUAAAUCUUGAGUGAAGUAGAGGCAAGCGGAAUUCCGAGUGUAGCGGUGAAAUGCGUAGAUAUUCGGAGGAACACCAGUGGCGAAGGCGGCUUGCUGGGCUUUAACUGACGCUGAGGCACGAAAGCGUGGGGAACAAACAGGAUUAGAUACCCUGGUAGUCCACGCUGUAAACGAUGAAUGCUAGGUGUGGGGGGACUGACCCCUUCCGUGCCGGAGUAAACACAAUAAGCAUUCCACCUGGGGAGUACGACCGCAAGGUUGAAACUCAAAGGAAUUGACGGGG